rnacentral:lncRNA from 1 species
GUACUUUGAGAUGUUGGAAAUACCUAUGCUGAAUGUGGGAGUAAAUUAAGUUUGAAUGUAUGUGAAAUCUGGCCUAGGAUCAAAUAUGGGAUGAAAAAUCCUACUGGAGUGCUCGUGAUCUCAGAUGGUGGAUGCUCAGCAAAUGUGAGAAAACAGUCAUUUUUUUUGUCACAGUUCAUAUUUUACAUCACGUUUCCCUUGAAAGGGGAGCUGGAGGUAAUUGGUGUGUGCGAGGGAGAGCUUUAUCACUUCUGUGAGAUUGCUGAUUGCAAACAGUGCAACAUUCCUCCGUCUUGGGAACCAUCGC